rnacentral:sRNA from 1 species
AAAACAAAAGUGACAACGCAGCGGCAAAACAAAAACAAAAAGCUGCAUGAGCAUCCAGCAACAAAAACAAAAACAGGAUGCAAGCGAACUGAGUGUUUUGGGUACUUUGCUUUUUAGUGGUCCCCAGGCAUGUGCGAGUUGUAGAUGUAGAGAAGAAUCGCUCCAGAAGCGGCACUGCACCUACCAACAUAGCCCGCAUUUUGCUCCUGACCGCUCUAUGUAUUCAAAGCUUUCCGUUUGCGUUAUUUGAUGUCCUUACUGUUGGGACAACACGGUGGGGUAAAAAAAUCAAAAAGAAUCCCGGCAACAACAAAAACAAUGCAGAUCGUCAACGCUUUCAGGGCGGGUUCGUGAAAACGGAUCCGCCUUUUGAUUAUCUGGCCCACAGACCCACCCUCAGCG